rnacentral:sRNA from 1 species
ACCCCUUAAACCUAAACCCUUAAACCUAAACCCUAAACCCUAAACCC